CUUUCUAGUUCCCUCCCCCUUUCUCUAGUUCCCUCCCCCUUUCUCCAGAGUCCUGCCCCAUGAGUUCCUCUGAGCAUGAACAGAAAGCUGUCUUGGGACUAUUGGACUCUUGGCGCCCUUCCCAGGAAAGGGGUUUCAGAGUGUUCAGAUAUGUUUCAAUCUCUUGUUCUGGCAUGGUUCCCGGACAGAAAGUAAGUUGCAGUGUGGUUCUUUAGCAAGGCCAGAAGGCAUGAGAAAGGCCUGAGAAACAAUGGACUGUUCUCUACCUUUUGUUACAGCAGAGCGGAAUGUUUCUGAUGCUUAGCUGCUGAUAAAAUGAUUUUGAAAAGCUUUGAAAAGCUUUGAGCCUGCUUUGGUGGGGGG